UACGUAGGGUGCAAGCGUUGUCCGGAAUUAUUGGGGGUAAAGAGCUCGUAGGUGGCCUGUCGCGUCGGCUGUGAAAACUCGGGGCUCAACUCCGAGCUUGCAGUCGAUACGGGCAGGCUAGAGUUCGGCAGGGGAGACUGGAAUUCCUGGUGUAGCGGUGAAAUGCGCAGAUAUCAGGAGGAACACCGGUGGCGAAGGCGGGUCUCUGGGCCGAUACUGACACUGAGGAGCGAAAGCGUGGGGAGCGAACAGG
rnacentral:rRNA from 1 species